rnacentral:tRNA from 1 species
GGGGUGGUGGUCUAGCUUGGUCUAAGAUGCCAGCCUGGGGCGUUGGUGGUCCCGGGUUCAAAUCCCGGCCACCCCA